GACCUUGCCUUCUGGGUCAUCAGGAAGUAUAUUUGUCAAGGUCAGAGGAUAGAACAUGUUUUAUUGAGUGGUUUGUUAGUGUGAUUUAUAUAUGGGCCUCCAGGGGGCUCCUGCCCUAGGCCUGCCAAUGCUAGGUGCGGGCCUCAUGCUUGCCAGGUGACUGAAGGAAUGAAAUGAACAUGCAUGAGGCACCUUCUCUUCCUUUUCUGGGACUUGGGACUUACAGCUGGCAACUGCAGCCCUGUGCAUCUGAGCGUAAGCCAGGUCUCAGGCAUGUCUUAGUCAGCAGCAUGAAAACGGACGAAUACACUUCCCCUUCACCUUCCACCAGGAUUCAUGAGAACAGACUAAUAUAGAGGAGAUGAAUGGAUUUCAAGCAGCCCUCCCGCUGAGGUAAAAUCCUAAGGGAUACUUCAGCAGGCACCAGGAAGGGGACGUUUGUUCUUCUGUGGCAUCAACUCUACCGAAAACAACCUAGCCUCCAACCUCGAGUUCCAUGAGAUUUUCUCUUCCCUUCAAAGCAAAUCUGACCUGAUGUUGCCAUGACCCACCUGGAUCCGGGGGAUGUUCUGUUUCUUCCAUUAUGUGCUAAUGGGAGUGUAAGAGUCACCUAAAUGGCUCAGGUUCUGCUGGCAGGCCUCAUUUUGCUUCUUCUAAAGGUUUUCCCUUCACUAAAUCCAGGGGCAAACUUGGGCUGCUGUGUGGCAUGAAUGUUGAUGAGUGGGAGGAAGGGAGGAAAAGAGAGAUAAAUAGAAGGGGAGAGAGAGAGAGACAGAGUGGAGACAGUGGGAGGGGGAGAGAGAGGGUGAGAGAAAAAUAGAGAGAUGGAAAGCCAGAAAGGGGAGAAAGGAGAGAAGAGGAGAGGAGAAGAAAAGCAAGGAGAAGAGAAAGACAGAGAGAGAGAUAGACAGAUAGAGACAGAGAGACAGGAGGGGGGAGAGAAAGACAGAGAGAGAGAUUAGAAAGGAAGACAGACAGAGAGAGAGAUGAGUGAGACAGGAGUGGGGAGAGAGAGCCAGAGAGAGAUUAAAUAGGGAGACAGAGAGAGAGAGACAGACAGACAGACAGCGAGACAGACAGACACACACACACAUACAUACAUACAUCCACACACACCCACACACACCCACACACAGAGACAGAGAAUAGGCUUCAGGCAGCAAAUGGCCCCAGGGGUGACAACUCUACUUACCUGCUGAGAAAGCCUGGCUAGCCAGGCAGAAGCCUGCUGCAGGGGCAGAGCCCUCACAGAGAACCUCUACUAGGGCAGUGCUGAAGGGGAAACGUGGGAUUGGAGCCCCCACACAGAGUCCCCAAUGGGGCACUGCCUAGUGGAACUGUGAGAAGGGAGCCACCAUCCUCUAGACCCAAGAAUGGUAGAGCCACCGACAGCUUGCACCCUGUGCCUGGAAAAGCGGCAGGCACUCAAUGCCAUCCUGUGAAAGUAGCUGGGUGGGGGGCUGCACCCUGCAAAGUCACACAGGUGGAGCUGCCCAAGGCCUUGGGAACCCAUCCCUUGUACCAGUGUGCCCUGGAUGUGGGACAUGCGGUCAAAGGAGGUAAUUUUGGAGUUUUAAGGUUUAAGACUGUCCUGCUGGGUUUCUGAGUUGCCUGAGGCCUGCUACUCUUUCUUUUGGCCAAUUUCUCCCUUUUGGAGCAGGAAUGUUUACCCAAUGUCUAUACCCGCCUUGGACUUUCUCAUACAUAGAUGGGGAUAACAUAGAUGGGGAUAACAGCUCCUGGGCUGGACUGACUGAGAUUCUGGGUUAUCUCCGUGGGUGCAGGAGCAGUAGAAGGGAGGGAAUGGAAGAGAAUCACAGGAAACAAUGAUGCAAACAAGCUCUGAGAAGUCAGAGGGGUGCACAGUGGGAAGACAGAAUUAGGAUGCUGGUCUAUUGGUCUUGCCUCUCAGGGGUGAUGUGGGCAGUUGUUCAAAGUUUCUUGGUAGAUUUGCUGCUGAACACAGGGAUGGCUCAUACCCUGACCCUUCCCUCUCCCCAAGUCUGUCUUGUUUUGCCAAAGCUUGGCUUAAAAGCUUGGCAUGUGCAAUAAGAAUUGCUCACCUGCGUCGACUGCUCACAAAGCUCUGGUCACCAUGGAAAGAGCUUCACCUCUGAGAGGUACAGGUGCUGCCUCCAUUUCCCCCCAAGCAUCCAUUCCCCUAAGUUCCAGUAAAUUUAACUUUGCUUUGGGGGACAAUUCCACUGGACUUGCAUGCAGGCUGGUGGAUCUGUCAAUCAAGAGGCUCCCCCCUCACCUGUACAGGGCUACACAUGUGACCCAGGCUCAAUCGACUCCCUAGAAAUGUGAUUUGCAUAGAAAUGGAAGAUAUUUGUGGAUGCCCUCAGGAGACCGACCGUUUCUGCGGUGCAGGUGCCUGGAACCCAUCUGGUCCCCGUACUUUCUGAAAUCUCAUGCUUCUCUUUUUCCUCUCAUUGUAUAAGGACAAAUGACUCUGUGUCUUCCCAAUCUGUGCUCAUGUUGGCCAGAAUCAGAUAUCAUAUUUUGCCACCAGUAGACCUUAAUUUAUUGAGACGGAGUAUCUUAAUUAUUUCUCACAACAACCUUAUAAGGAAGGCAUGCCCAGCCCUGCUGCAGAUCCAUCACUGAGAUUUAUUUCCAAGAAGCAGCGACUCGUCAAGCAAGCCUUGAAUCAGCCUGGGUGGGAGUCGGCUUUCUAUCAACAAGUUUGAUGACACAGUUAAGCCUGGAAGGGGAAUGGUGCAUCUUCUUCCAAUCUGGGGAAGAGAUGCCUGGCAGAGGCCCCACAACUGCAGGUAAGUGGUGGAAAACUUCCAAACUCCUCCUCUCUCGGGGCUAAGAUCUCCUGAGCCCACAGGCGUUUUUGAAGCUGGAGCCCUGGUGUGGCUUUCUGCAAGACUGUGUUGGAAGGCAGUGCCCCUGUGCAUGGGGACAGAGGUGGGGAAGAAGACAAGGAACCUGGAGGAAAAAAGAGGAAGACCAACAGAGGGGCUUCAUCUGCAACUUCUGCCCCCAUGGUAGCUGCCGCUCCUCAGACUCAGCUUCCUGGCUGGUGCAUGGCUUUGCUUCUGUACGGAAGCAGCAUCCACAGCCAGCCUCCUCCCAUCCCAGAGACUCUUCCUGGCUGAGUUUAGUGGAGGCCCCAAACUGCAAUGGUGCUGCCAAACAUGGCCACAUCACAAAGCGGGUGACAGCUGACACUGAGUGGGACAUGCAGGGGAAGCCCUGAGGACCUGUAUUCAGCCCUUUGCUGAUGGGAACUCCAAAGCCUUCUCUGGGGAGAGGUCAUUGAUUCCAACAUGAAUGGGGUGUCUCCCAUGAGCCAGGCAUUGUGUGUACCAGGAAUUCAUUUGUGAGAAGAGCAGACAAAGGUCCCUGCCUCUUGGGACCCACAUUCCACAGGGGGAGAGGAUGGUAAUUAAUGAUGAGCAUGAUGAGAAGGCAGAUGGCCUGGUGUGUGAUGAUGCAGUAAGGGCUGGGGUAAAAGAGUUAGGGAGGGCUGGUGUGUGUGCAUGUGUGUGUGGGUGAGGACAAGGAUGCAAGUUUCUGAGAAGGUGAUGAUUCCAGGAAGACACAAAGGAAGUGAGAAAACUGGCCCUGUAGUUGUUUGAGCAAGGCUGCUCCAGGCUGAGAGCAUCACAUGCAAGUGCCCCCAGCUGGGAGUAGGCCUGGCAAAGUCAAGGGAGGACGAGGAGUCAGUGGGACUGCCACAGGUGGAGCAGAGGAGAGUGAGGACAAAAAAGCUCUUGGGGAGGGGGUCACACAAGGAGAGCUUGGGAGCCACUGCAGGUCCUGGCUUUUCCCCUGCAUAAUGCAAUGGGGAACCAUUAUCAGGCUUGAGUCAGAGAGCCCUGAAGAGCUGGCACUGGGGACCCCGAGCACUGUGCAUGAAUAGUUGCAGGAAAGACAGAAACAUGGAGCCCAGUCAACAUAUGAGAGUCCAGGUGGCCUGGGCCAGGUGGCAGCCAUGGAUAGGAGAGGUGUGGGGGAGAUUCCAGACGUGGUCUGAGGCUCGGGUUCCUAGGAAGUGAGAUUGUGAGGCACAGAGAGGGGUCAAGGAUGACUCCAUGUAGGGAAAAGAAAGAGAGAUCAGACUGUUACUGUGUCUAUGUAGAAAGGGAAGACAUAAGAAAUUCCAUUUUGACCUGUACCUUGAACAAUUGCUUUGCUGAGAUGCUGUUAAUUUGUAACUUUGCCCCAGCCACUUUGCCCCAACUUUGAGCUCACAAAAACAUGUGUUGUAUGGAAUCAAGGUUUAAGGGAUCUAGGGCUGUGCAGGACUUGCCUUGUUAACAAAAUGUUUACAAGCAGUAUGCUUGGUAAAAGUCAUCGCCAUUCUCUAGUUUCAAUAAACCAGGGGCACAAUGCACUGCAGAAAGCCGCAGGGACCUCUGCCCUGGAAAGCCAGGUAUUGUCCAAGGUUUCUCCCCAUGUGAUAGUCUGAAAUAUGGCCUCAUGGGAUGAGAAAGACCUGACCGUACCCCAGCCCGACACCUGUAAAGGGUCUGUGCUGAGGUGGAUUAGUAAUAGAGGAAAGCCUCUUGCAGCUGAGAUAGAGGAAGGCCACUGUCUCCUGCCUGCCCCUGGGAACUGAAUGUCUCAGUAUGAAACUCGAUUGUACAUUUGUUCAUUUCUGAGACAGGAGAAAAACUGCCCUAUGGCGGGAGGUGAGACGUGUUGGCAGCAAUGCUGCUUUGUUAUUCUUUACUCCACUGAGAUGUUUGGGCGGAGAGAAACAUAAAUCUGGCCUACGUGCACAUCCAGGCAUAGUACCUCCCCUUGAACUUAAUUAUGACACAGAUUCUUUUGCUCACAUGUUUUCUUGCUGACCUUCUCCCUAUUAUCACCCUGCUCUCCUACCUCAUUCUUCUUGCUGAGAUAGUGAAAAUAAUAAUCAAUAAAAACUGAGGGAACUCAGAGACCAGUGCCAGUGCAGGUCCUUGGUAUGCUGAGCACUGGUCCCCUGGGCCCACUUUUCUUUUUCUAUACUUUGUCUCUGUGUCUUAUUUCUUUUCUCAGUCUCUCGUCCCAUGUGACGAGAUAUACCCAC
rnacentral:lncRNA from 1 species